rnacentral:rRNA from 1 species
CCUACGGGUGGCAGCAGUGGGGAAUAUUGGACAAUGGGGGGAACCCUGAUCCAGCCAUGCCGCGUGUGUGAAGAAGGCCCUCGGGUUGUAAAGCACUUUCAGUGAGGAAGAACGCCUGGUGGUUAAUACCCAUCAGGAAAGACAUCACUCACAGAAGAAGCACCGGCUAACUCCGUGCCAGCAGCCGCGGUAAUACGGAGGGUGCGAGCGUUAAUCGGAAUUACUGGGCGUAAAGCGCGCGUAGGUGGCUUGAUAAGCCGGUUGUGAAAGCCCCGGGCUCAACCUGGGAACGGCAUCCGGAACUGUCAAGCUAGAGUGCAGGAGAGGAAGGUAGAAUUCCCGGUGUAGCGGUGAAAUGCGUAGAGAUCGGGAGGAAUACCAGUGGCGAAGGCGGCCUUCUGGACUGACACUGACACUGAGGUGCGAAAGCUUGGGUAGCAAACAGGAUUAGAUACCCGAGUAGUC